GUGGGGAAUUUUGGACAAUGGGCGCAAGCCUGAUCCAGCAAUGCCACGUGCAGGAAGAAGGCCUUCGGGUUGUAAACUGCUUUUGUACGGAACGAAACGGUCCGGGUUAAUACCCUGGGCUAAUGACGGUACCGUAAGAAUAAGCACCGGCUAACUACGUGCCAGCAGCCGCGGUAAUACGUAGGGUGCAAGCGUUAAUCGGAAUUACUGGGCGUAAAGCGUGCGCAGGCGGUUUUGUAAGACAGGCGUGAAAUCCCCGGGCUCAACCUGGGAAUUGCGCUUGUGACUGCAAGGCUGGAGUGCGGCAGAGGGGGAUGGAAUUCCGCGUGUAGCAGUGAAAUGCGUAGAUAUGCGGAGGAACACCGAUGGCGAAGGCAAUCCCCUGGGCCUGCACUGACGCUCAUGCACGAAAGCGUGGGGAGCAAACAGGAUUAGAUACCCCUGUAGUCC
rnacentral:rRNA from 1 species